AAGACUAUACUUUCAGGGAUCAUUUCUAUAGUCCGCUACUAGAGAAGUGCAUCCGAAAGUGAACGGCCGAGCGAACCACGAGGAGGAGGCAAAGUGUUCUCUUCUGAGCGCGAAGCUGGCGGGCGAUGCUGCUUCCCAGCGGCUGUCGCCUGCCCUUGAUGACCGUUCCGCCUCCUCCUCGCGAGGAGGCCGGAGGGAGAGAACACAGGCUGAGUGGU
ensembl:snoRNA U3 Small nucleolar RNA U3